CUCCUGGAGAUGUAUUUCUACUCUUGGAAAAUUCCAGCAUUACUUCAGAGUUCAGUCGUGAAGAAAGCACCCGAGACUAGUAGAAAUUGAUUUUAAACUUUGCUUCUUUUAAUAUCUUGUAUUACUUCUUCACAAUAAAUGUUUUUAUUACUUUCCCUAUAGAUAAAAGAACAAAGGGCCAAUCAGUGCAGCAGCAAAGAAUAUAGAUUAUAUGUAUGAUAUAUGAAUAGAUUAUAUGUAUGAUUAGAUGUACACAACAUAUUUUUUUGAAAAUUACUUUGCCAGUGAACUUAAUUACUAGGUCGACCAUUUUUUAAGCAAUUUAAAACAUUUGCAUUGGCAUUGGAUGAUUUUUUGGACCUACCCGUACGAAAAGUUACAGCCUGACUGAACGAGAUUCUGGCCAGUAUCUGGCCAUAAACCAAUUAAAGCGGCAGUAAUUGAGCGAGACACAACCAGACAUUGGUUUUGUCUCG
rnacentral:lncRNA from 1 species